UGGAGAACCUGGUGAACCGGGCGUACGGUAUGGAAACUUACUAAGUGAUCACUUUCAAAUUCAGAGAAACCCUAGAAUUAACAAAAAUGGGCAAUCCUGAGCCAAAUCCUGUUUUCCGAAAACAAACAAAGCGUUCAGGAUUGAAGAAGUGGUCUUAUUAGCAUUCGGUUGAAUGACUGUUUGGUUUAUAAAGUGAUUUCUUUUCCAUGUCAAGAUACUUUAGUUGUUCUUCCCUUGAAGAAAUUAGUAUUGUUUUUGCUGUUAGUACUG
rnacentral:ncRNA from 1 species